GGGAGGUCGAGGCGGGCAGAUCACCUGAGGUUAGGAGUUCCAGACCAGCCUGGCCAACAUGAUCAGUUGCUCUGGGGGAAGCCAGCUGUCAUGUGACAAACAGCUCUCCACAGAGGAUUAUGGGGCAUGUAACUGAGGCCUCCAGCCAGCGGCCACGUCAGUGAGUUUGGAAAUAGGUCCUCUAGCCCAGUUGAGCCUUCAGAAGACGACAUGAGGAUUUGCUGCAGUUCUGCCCAACAUCUUGAUUUCAAGCUCAUGAGACAGCCUAAGCCCAAACCACCCAGCUAAGCCAUUCCUAGAUUCCUGACCCAAAGAAACUAUGUGAGAUUAUGUGUCUGGUAUUUUAAGCACUAAGUUCUGGGAUAAUUUGUUUUGAAGCAAUAGUUAAGAAAUACAAUGAGAUAACACUAAACGCAAUGAGAGAGCACUAAACACUAUACUUGGUGUAGAUAAGGUCAUGGAGCCACAGGAAUGCUCAUUUUGUGCUAGUGGAAAAGGAAAUUGGAAAAACCAUUUUGCAAUGUAUAACCAGGUGGCAAUAUCUACAGUUUUAAAGCUAUGCCUAUUAUAUGAUCUCACAGUUCCACUUCUAGGUAUAUAGUGCAUGAUCCUGUGCACAGGAGACAUGCACAUGAAUAUUCAUAGCAGGAAUGUUUGUAGUAGCCUCAAAUUGGAAACCAUCCACAUAUCCAUCAGUAAUGGAAUGGAUAAAUAAGUUUUGGUAGCAGUUGAGCCUUGAACAACACGAGUUUAAACUAUGUGGGUCCACUUAAUAUGCACAUUUUCUGGGUCCACUUAUAUGCAGAUUUUCUUCUACCUCUGCUACCCCUGAGAUGGUAAGACCAUCUUCCUUGAUCCACUUCCACAGUAAAUACAUUUUCUCUUUCUUAUGAUUUUCUUAAUAUCAUUUUCUUUUCCCUAAGCUUACUUGAUUGUAAGUGUACAGUAUGUGAUAAAAAUAACAUGCAAAAUAUGUGUUAAUCAACUGUUAAUGAUCAGUUAAUACUUCUGGUGAACAGUAGGCUGUAAGUAGUUAAGUUUUGGGGAAGUCAAAAGCAUAUGCAGAUAUUUGACUGUGUGGGGUGUUGGUAUCCCUAACCUCGUGCAUUGUUCAAGGGUCAAUUGUAUUUGUACAAUAAAAUGUUAUACAGCAAGGGUUGGAAGAUUUGUUCUGUUAAGGGCCAGAGAGUCAAUAUUUUAGGCUUUAAGGGCUGUACAGUCUCUGUCAUACCUAGUCAACUCUGCUGUUGUAGUAUGUAAGCAGCCACAGAGAAUAGGGAAAUGAAUAAGCAUGGCUAUAUUUCAAUUAUACUUUAUUUACAAAACAGAUGGGGAACUGGAUUUGGCACAGGGGCCACAGUUUUCUGACCAUUACUCUAUAAUAUUGAGAGUAAAAGGGGCCAGGUGCAGUGGCUCACAUCUGUGAUCCCAGCACUUUGGGAGGCUGAGGCAGGAGGAUUGCUUGAGGCCAGUAGAUCAAGACCAGUCUGGGCAACAUGGCGAGACCCCAUGAUAUGGUUUGGAUGUGUGUCCCUCCUCAAAUCUCAUGUCAAAUUGUAAUUCCCAGUGUUGGAGGAGAGGCCUGGUGGGAGGUGAUUGGAUCAUGGGGACAGGCUUUCCCCUUGCUGUUCUUGUGAUAGUGAGUUCUCAUGAGAUCUGGUUGUUUAAAAGUGUGUGGCACCUCCCCCUUCUCUCUCUUCUUCCUGCUCUGGCCACAUAAGACAAGCCUACUUCCACUUCACCUUCUGUCAUGAUUGUAAGUUUCCUGAGGCUUCCCCCACCAUGCUUCCUGUAGAGCCUACAGAACCAUGAGCCAAUAAACCUCUUUUCUUUAUAAAUUACCCAGUCUCAGGUAUUUCUUCAUAGCAGUGUGAGAAUGGACUAAUAUACCCCAUCUCUACAAAAAAAUUUAAAAAAUUAGCCAGGUGUGGUGGUGUGUGCUUGUGGUCCCAGCUACUUGGGAGGCUGAGAUGGGAGGAUCUUUUUAGCCCAGGAUGUGGAGGCUGCAGUGAGCCAUGCUCAGGAUUUUAGUCUGUUCUCACGCUGCUAAUAAAGACAUACCUGAGACUGGGUAAUUUAUAAAGGAAAGAGGUUUGAUGGACUCACAGUUCCACGUGGCUGAGGAGGCCUCACAAUUAUGGUAGAAGGUGAAGGAGGAGCAAAAUCAUGUCUUACAGGGCGGCAGGCAAGAGAGCAUGUGCCAGGAAACUGCCCUUUAUAAAACCAUCAGAUCUCACGAGACUUAUGCACUAUCAUGAGAACAGCACGAGAAAGAUCUGCCUCCAUGAUUCAAUUACCUCCCACAGCGUCCCUCCCAUGACACACGGGAAUUAUGAGAGUUACAAUUCAAGAUGAGAUUUGGGUGGGGACACAGCCAAACCAUAUCACUCAGGUUGGGUGACAGAGCAAGGCCCUGUCUCAAAAAAAUAAACAAGUAAAAUAAUAAAAAAAGAGAGAAUGAAAGAGCCCAGGUACAAACAAGAACAUAGAUAAGUCUUUGAAAAGUAUUGAAUGAAAGAAAUCGGACAUAAAAUAUGUACUCCUAUUUAUAAAAAGUUCAAAAGCAUGAAAAAUGAGACGAUAUUGUUGAGGGAGCAUCUUGAGGAGGUGAAACUAGAAGGCAAAACAAGGAAUUGAGUCUUUAAAAUGCCAGGAUUGUUGUUACUUUGGAGGGUAGAUAGGGGUGUGUAAUUGAGAAGGGGUACCUAAGGGACUCAUGGGGUGCUGGCAAUAACCUUAUUUAUUAAUCUGUUGGGGGUUUCACAGGUGUUUAUACAAUCUGGUAAGUUGUAUAUUUGUGUUUUGUGUUCUUUUCUGUAUUUGCAUUCUAUUUCUCAAUAAAUUGUUGAAGAAAAAUGAAUAUUAAGA
rnacentral:lncRNA from 1 species